rnacentral:pre_miRNA from 1 species
UGAGAACUGUAUUCCAUAGACUGUCACAGCAGCCAAUAUCCAGUCUUUGGAUUCAGUUCCCAAA